UGAGCAAUCUGCCCUUCUCUUUGGAAUAAGCGUUGGAAACGACGUCUAAUGCCGAAUACGACCUCCUUUCGCAUGAUCGGAGGUGGAAAGCUCCGGCGGAGAAGGAUGAGCUCGCGGCCUAUCAGCUAGUUGGUGUGGGUAAUGGCCCACCAAGGCGACGACGGGUAGCCGGCCUGAGAGGGUGACCGGCCACACUGGGACUGAGACACGGCCCAGACUCCACGGGAGGCAGCG
rnacentral:rRNA from 1 species